CUUUAAACAUCACAAGAAGAAUUGUUUGGAUAUGUAUACAAGUUUGUAAGAUAAAUUAAGAAGACAUUGAGAAAAAAUAUUGCAGAAAAGAAGAUGAAAAUGACAGGAGUUGGAAUUUUGUUCUUAAUUAUGUUUGGGUUGGCAGAAGCUAGUAAUUACAAUCCUCCAAGUAAAUUGGAAAUUACAUGUGCUCGGUUGUGUGGCAUAACUUGUCUAGUUUCUCCAGAUCCCUUCCCAGUAUGUUUUGCUCUUUGUGUUGCAAAUUGUCCUAAAACAUCCACUCAUGUCCGCAAUUGUAUUUCUGCUUGUGCCAUCAACAACUCCAUUAACACCACCAUUGAUGUUCGUGAUCAUGAUGAUAUCUAUGCAGUGGAUUCUUGCUUACAGAAGUGUCAGAAUAAUUAAUUUUGUUAACUACAAAAAUGUUGAAAAUAAGACUUGCAUCAAUGAAUAACAUUGUUUUUUUAUUUUA